rnacentral:rRNA from 1 species
AGAGGGUGCAAACGUUGUUCGGAAUUACUGGGCGUAAAGCGUGUGUAGGCGGUGAGGUAAGUCAGGUGUGAAAUCCCACGGCUCAACCAUGGAAGUGCACUUGAUUCUGCUUCGCUUGAGUACUGGAGAGGUUGGUGGAAUUCUUGGUGUAGAGGUGAAAUUCGUAGAUAUCAAGAGGAACACCGGUGGCGAAGGCGGCCAACUGGACAGAUACUGACGCUGAGACACGAAAGCGCGGGGAGCAAACAGGAUUAGAUACCCUGGUAGUCCGCGCCGUAAACGAUGGGUGCUAGGUGUCACGGGCUUUGACUCCUGUGGUGCCGUAGCCAACGCAUUAAGCACCCCGCCUGGGAAGUACGGCCGCAAGGCUA